rnacentral:rRNA from 1 species
GACGAACGCUGGCGGCGUGCUUAACACAUGCAAGUCGAACGGAAAGGCCCUGCUUUUGUGGGGUGCUCGAGUGGCGAACGGGUGAGUAACACGUGAGUAACCUGCCCUUGACUUUGGGAUAACUUCAGGAAACUGGGGCUAAUACCGGAUAGGAGCUCCUGCUGCAUGGUGGGGGUUGGAAAGUUUCGGCGGUUGGGGAUGGACUCGCGGCUUAUCAGCUUGUUGGUGGGGUAGUGGCUUACCAAGGCUUUGACGGGUAGCCGGCCUGAGAGGGUGACCGGCCACAUUGGGACUGAGAUACGGCCCAGACUCCUACGGGAGGCAGCAGUGGGGAGUAUUGCACAAUGGGCGGAAGCCUGAUGCAGCAACGCCGCGUGCGGGAUAACGGCCUUCGGGUUGUAAACCGCUUUCGCCUGUGACGAAGCGUGAGUGACGGUAAUGGGUAAAGAAGCACCGGCUAACUACGUG